ACUGAUGAAUAUUUUCAUGAAGAAGGGGUGUCUAAUUGCCAUCCGAAGUGGCCAAUCGAGAAAUAUAUGUAACAUCCCAAAAAACCAGAUAUUGAGCGAAAGAAAAGUUCAGAGAAGUUGACAAAGUGAGAUUUACCACGAGAGAGAUAAGAGAUUGGUGUUGACUAGUGAGACUAUAGUGAGUGCAUACUAUUAGAAUAUAUGUAUUACUACACGAAAAUUAGACUUGCGAAAAGUGUGUUUCCGACAUUUUGAAUAUAUGAUUAUACGAGUACGAGCAUAAUUAUGAUCUUGUAUUAUGUGAAUAUGCCAUGAUUGUAUUACAUGUUAUAUGG